rnacentral:rRNA from 1 species
CAAUAGCGUAUAUUAAAGUCGUUGCGGUUAAAAAGCUCGUAGUUGGAUUUCUGCUGAGAACGACCGGUCCGCCCUCUGGGUGUGUAUCUGGCUCUUUCUUGGCAUCUUCUUGGUGAACGUUGCUGCACUUGACUGUGUGGAGCGCUACCCAGGACUUUUACUUUGAGGAAAUUAGAGUGUUUCAAGCAGGCAUACGCCUUGAAUACAUUAGCAUGGAAUAAUAAGAUAGGACCUCGGUUCUAUUUUGUUGGUUUCUAGAGCUGAGGUAAUGAUUAAUAGGGAUAGUUGGGGGCAUUCGUAUUUAACUGUCAGAGGUGAAAUUCUUGGAUUUGUUAAAGACGGACUACUGCGAANGNAUUUGCNAAGGAUGUUUNCAUUG